GUGUCAGCCGCCGCGGUAAUACGGAGGAUCCAAGCGUUAUCCGGAUUUAUUGGGUUUAAAGGGUGCGUAGGCGGCUUAUUAAGUCAGGGGUGAAAGACGGCAGCUCAACUGUCGCAGUGCCUUUGAUACUGAUGAGCUUGAAUCUACCUGAGGUAGGCGGAAUGUGACAAGUAGCGGUGAAAUGCAUAGAUAUGUCACAGAACACCAAUUGCGAAGGCAGCUUACUAAAGUAAAAUUGACGCUGAGGCACGAAAGCGUGGGGAUCAAACAGGAUUAGAUACCCCCGUAGUCC
rnacentral:rRNA from 1 species